rnacentral:lncRNA from 1 species
AGGAAAAGGUUUAGCAUUCAUCUUGUGAUAAUAGAGCAUUUCUACUCAAAAGAAGGCUUAUUCCUACCUCUAACUUGCUAUUCUCUAUUGAGCAAUGAGUUGGAUGGCUUCAAAUUCUUCCAACUUGCAAACUGAAGCUUGGAGUUGGGUGAUGGUGUGACGGAUUGAGCAGGAAUUGAGGGCUGGGACUCUGAAGCGAGAAAUUGAGGGUCGGAUGUGGAGGUGAGGGUGAACUUGAUUCAUUCUCUUGUAUAUAUUCCUAAGAGAGAGACUCACUGUGAAAGGACACAUCACUAUAAAAUAAAGAGAAGGCCAAUGGUGAAGUGUUUGAAAGAUAAUUCAUUGUUCUAGUUGGUUAUUAAAAUAAAUGUGUCUCAUGAUAGAAUCCAGC